AUUGAACGCUGGCGGCAGGCCUAACACAUGCAAGUCGAGCGGAUGAAGGGAGCUUGCUCCUGGAUUCAGCGGCGGACGGGUGAGUAAUGCCUAGGAAUCUGCCUGGUAGUGGGGGAUAACGUCCGGAAACGGGCGCUAAUACCGCAUACGUCCUGAGGGAGAAAGUGGGGGAUCUUCGGACCUCACGCUAUCAGAUGAGCCUAGGUCGGAGUAGCUAGUUGGUGGGGUAAAGGCCUACCAAGGCGACGAUCCGUAACUGGUCUGAGAGGAUGGUCAGUCACACUGGAACUGAGACACGGUCCAGACUCCUACGGGAGGCAGCAGUGGGGAAUAUUGGACAAUGGGCGAAAGCCUGAUCCAGCCAUGCCGCGUGUGUGAAGAAGGUCUUCGGAUUGUAAAGCACUUUAAGUUGGGAGGAAGGGCAGUAAGUUAAUACCUUGCUGUUUUGACGUUACCAAAAGAAUAAGCACCGGCUAACUUCGUG
rnacentral:rRNA from 1 species